UCUGUUUGCAACAGAUUCCCAGCGUUUUAAGUCUAUACUAAGCUGAGGAAAGAACCCUCCGGGCAUUUCUGGUAACAGAGUCUCCGAGUGCUUUCCCUAAAGGGCCUCUUCCGAAAAGAAAGGACGUCUGGAACAGAGCCCGCAGUUUCUUAUCUAGAAUCCGCCUCCAGCAGCCAAUGGCCUCUUUCCAUUCCUCCCCCGCGCUGCAAACAACUUGAACUUCCUCAGUAAGAGCAGAAUAGAAAAAAUCGCUCAGCCUGGCAAUCUGCCCCCUCCCCCCGGGGCCACUCUCCAAAGCGGGGGGCAAUGCGGUGGGCGCUGGUCCUCUGGCAGAUGAGCUUCCUGGAGGUCGUCCAGCUCCGCUCACACUCUCUGCAGUAUUUUUACUUUGCUUCGUCGGAGCCAGCUCCAGGAGUCCCUGUCUUUUCUGCCUCUGGCUUUGUGGACGGCCAGCGCUUCAUCCUCUACGACCAUAAGACAAGGAAAGCCGAAGCUUCUGUGCAGUGGCUGAGGGAGGCACCCAGUUACUUUGAGGAUGAAAGCAAGAUCUUCAGCAACCGGAUGAAGAUUUUCCAGCUGAGCCUGAACAAUGUGCAGCAGUACUACAACCAAACCCUGAGCCAAGGCCCACAUCUGGAGCAGCCGCACGUGCCAGCAGGAUCUCACAUCUUGCAGUUCACCUACGGCUGUGAACAACAAGAUGACGGCAGCAUCACCGGGCAUUGGCAAUACGGCUAUGAUGGUGGCGACUACCUGAGCCUGGAUUUCGACUCGCUGCAGUACACAGCAACCUCGCCCUUGGCCCACUUCACCAAGCAGAAGUGGGAGGCCAGUGGGGACUUCACAAACAAACUCAAGACAUACCUGAAGAAGGAAUGCAUCGUAUGGUUGCACAAAUAUCUGAAGUCCCGAGGGGAAAACUCUAGCCGCACAGACCCGCCCACAGCACAUGUAACCCAUCACCCAGUCUCUGACCAGAAGGCCACCCUGAGGUGCUGGGCCCUGGGCUUCUACCCCAAGGACAUCACACUCACCUGGCACCGAGAUGGGGAGGACCUGACCCAGGACAUGGAGCUGGUGGAGACCAGGCCUUCAGGAGAUGGAACCUUCCAGAAGUGGGCAGCUGUGCUGGUGCCUGCUGGAGAGGAGCAGAGAUACACAUGCCACAUGGAGCAUGAGGGGCUACCUGAGCCCCUCACCCUGAGAUGGGAGCCUCCUCAGCCCACUGUGCCCAUGUGGGGACUUGUCAGUUGCCUGGUCCUCCUGACAGCUGUGCUCAUUGGAGCUGUGGUCACUGCUGUGAUGAUGAAGAGGAAGCGCUCAGGUGAAAAAGAAGAAACUAUGCUGAAACUAAAAUAAGAUCGUAAAUUGUUGCAGCAUCUUUCCAACAGGACGCCAGAGCGGUGGUUGGGUGUUCUGGGCACCUCACAGAGAAUAUUUUCUGCUCAGGCUUCUAACAACUGCACAUCCACCAGGCGCUUGUAUGAACCUUGGCUCCAUUCUCCUGCCCUGUUCUGUAGCAGUCACUUCUGCAGCAUCCAGCUGAUUGUCUAAUUCUAUCAGCUAGGCUUCCGCCAGCACUGAAGCUUUCUAACUACAGAGAGCCACCAGUCAGGUGGACAGGUGGCCAAACAUCCUGUUGAGACUGAGAGAAGUCGAAGGAAAGACGAGAGUCAAAGACGGCGGUGACUGGAGCCAGCGCC